GAAACAAGUUGUGGCUACCAAUCAGCACGUGUUUUUUCUGUCUAAAUUUAUAGAUUUUAAUGGCUGUUUUCUUCUUUUUCUUCUGCUUUUAAUGUUCCAUCAAUUUGUAGUCUCUUAUUGCAUGGAGCUCAUCAAGACACUUAUACUCAUUCUUAUCUGAUAGUACCCCUUUCUUCUUUUGGUUCUUUCUUAAGAGUUUAAUCAGAAUAUAUUUUCUAUUUAUAUCGGUAAUUCUUGAUUUCUAUUUUUGUAAUCCUAAAUCUUUGAGAAAGUGAAAAAAUGGAUUCAAGAAUUGAGAUAGAUUUCAUGGACCUCAACACCAGACCACAAUCAGAAAUGGCGAAGCAACACACCAAAGGUAAAAAGCAAAUCUUUUUCUCAUAUAUUUACCAGUACAGAAAUAAAGAAGAAAAUUAUUUUUGAGUUCCUGAAAAAAAAAUUGUAGACUGAUUUGAGAUUUAAUUUGAUUUUGGAAGUAAGAAAUAAUGUAUUUAAUUAGGAAAAUAUGGUCAAACUAAGAAAUAAAAUCUGUUUAGGAUUAUUAUUAUAACAUGACGUCUUGCGCUAAGAUUUAUUAGGGUUUAUUAUUGUAAGUAGAUCUCAAAUGAGAGUAAAUUAAUUGGCUGAAAAAGAAUAUACGGAAAUGAAAUUUGUUAAUUAAGUUGAUUUUCAGUACUUGAAUCUUUUACUCUAGCCUUUGUUAUUAGUUUUCUUAUGUUAUUUUCAGAUAUUCAUAAAUAUUUUUCUUUCUUAUAUUUACAAUAACUUCUGUUCGAUUCUUCAGUUCUUGUUACUUAUUUCGAUCACUUCAUUAAUUCCUUGUGAUUAAUCUUUUUUUGAUUCAUUUUUCAAUUCAAAAAGAGUUGUUUUUGGCUAUAAUAGCUUGUUUGGUCAAGCUUGUCUAAUUCUAGAAGCACUUUUUUUAAAAGUUAAAGUGUUUGGCCGAGUUUUUGGAAGAAAAAAAAAUGUUUUCGAGGAGAAACGGAAGCAGUUUUGGAGAAAUAGCAAAAAGUAGCUCUCUCCAAAAAUACUUUUUGAAAAGUGCUUUUGACAAGUGUAGUUUUUAAAAACUUGGUCAAAUACUAAUUGUUACUUAGAAGUGUUUUUCAAAUUAAUUAGCCAAACACAAACUGCUUCUCAUAAAAAAAAUGAAAAAGAUACUUUUAAGAAAAAAACACUUCUCAAAAUAAGUUAAUUUUUGCCUAACCGGCUAUGUUAGUUACAAUCUUUAUUGAAUUGAGCUUUUUCUUGUAGUUAAUUAUGUUUGGGUAUUACAUGAAGAAACUUAUCUUUUUGCUGAUCAUAUUUGUGAUAAUUAAUAGUCUGUUGUCAAAGUAAAUCUAAACUAUUUAGAUAAUUCACGCAAAACCCUUUGGUUUUUGAAUAAUUCAUACUAAACCUAAUAUAAUUUUAGUUCCGUUGAAAUAUGAGAACAUGAUGUUGAAUAGACAUGGAUCGACAUGGCUGAAAGUAAGUGAAGAAAAGAUAGAUCAAUAUGGGUUGUAUGGGAUGGAUAAGAUCUCUCCAUCCGUAAUCGGAGGUUUUGGGUUCGAGUUCUGGGUAUGAAAAAAAUUAUAUUAGGAAGUAUUUUUCCCUCAAAACAAAUAUAGACGGGCUCCAAUGCAGAUACCAGACACGAGCACCAGAUGGGAAUCAAAAACAAAAAGAUAAGAAAUUGACUCCAGAGGCAAAGCUAGCGUUUGGCCAUAGAUUCCCAAAUUUGUUUUGAAAAAUUUGAUUUUGGUGAAGUUUGGUUUAAAGAUGAAAAUAUGUUGGACAUGAUCAGUUUNNNNNNN
rnacentral:lncRNA from 1 species